AACUUCUUAUUGAAUCCGUGCAGAGAUCCCGUCAGACACCAUACCAUUACGGCUGAUCAGACUUCCAAGAUAAGUGAAGUU
rfam:Schistosoma mansoni strain Puerto Rico chromosome 1, complete genome